rnacentral:rRNA from 1 species
AGAGUUUGAUCAUGGCUCANAUUGAACGCUGGCGGCAGGCCUAACACAUGCAAGUCGAGCGGCAGCACAAGGGAGUUUACUCCUGAGGUGGCGAGCGGCGGACGGGUGAGUAAUGCCUAGGGAUCUGCCCAGUCNAGGGGGAUAACAGUUGGAAACGACUGCUAAUACCGCAUACGCCCUACGGGGGAAAGAGGGGGACUUUCGGGCCUCUCGCGAUUGGAUGAACCUAGGUGGGAUUAGCUAGUUGGUGAGGUAAUGGCUCACCAAGGCGACGAUCCCUAGCUGUUCUGAGAGGAUGAUCAGCCACACUGGGACUGAGACACGGCCCANACUCCUACGGGAGGCAGCAGUGGGGAAUAUUGCACAAUGGGGGAAACCCUGAUGCAGCCAUGCCGCGUGCGUGAAGAAGGCCUUCGGGUUGUAAAGCACUUUCAGUAGGGAGGAAAGGUUGUAAGUUAAUACCUUGCAGCUGUGACGUUACCUACAGAAGAAGGACCGGCUAACUCCGUGCCAGCAGCCGCGGUAAUACGGNAGGGUCCAAGCGUUAAUCGGAAUUACUGGGNCGUAAAGCGUGCGCAGGCGGUUUGUUAAGCGAGAUGUGAAAGCCCCGGGGCUCAACCU